UACGAGGGGGCGAGCGUUGUUCGGAAUUAUUGGGCGUAAAGGGUGCGUAGGCGGUUUGGUAAGUCUGAUGUGAAAUCUAUGGGCUCAACUCAUAGUCUGCAUCGGAAACUGCCGGGCUUGAGUAUGGGAGAGGUGAGUGGAAUUGCGAGUGUAGAGGUGAAAUUCGUAGAUAUUCGCAGGAACACCAGUGGCGAAGGCGGCUUACUGGUCCAUAACUGACGCUGAGGUGCGAAAGCGUGGGGAGCAAACAGG
rnacentral:rRNA from 1 species